rnacentral:rRNA from 1 species
AAUUUGAAAUCUGGCACUUUCAGUGUCCGAGUUGUAAUUUGAAGAAGGUAUCUUUGGGUCUGGCUUUUGUCUAUGUUUCUUGGAACAGAACGUCACAGAGGGUGAGAAUCCCGUGCGAUGAGAUGACCCAGACCUAUGUAAAGUUCCUUCGAAGAGUCGAGUUGUUUGGGAAUGCAGCUCUAAGUGGGUGGUAAAUUCCAUCUAAAGCUAAAUAUUGGCGAGAGACCGAUAGCGAACAAGUACAGUGAUGGAAAGAUGAAAAGAACUUUGAAAAGAGAGUGAAAAAGUACGUGAAAUUGUUGAAAGGGAAGGGCUUGAGAUCAGACUUGGUAUUUUGUAUGUUACUCUCUCGGGGGUGGCCUCUACAGUUUACCGGGCCAGCAUCAGUUUGGGCGGUAGGACAAUUGCAAAGAAAUGUGGCACUGCCUCGGUAGUGUGUUAUAGUCUUUGUCGAUACUGCCAGCCUAGACUGAGGACUGCGGCUUCGGCCUAGGAUGUUGGCAUAAUGAUCUUAAGUCGCCCGUCUUGA